UACAGAGGUCUCAAGCGUUGUUCGGAUUCAUUGGGCGUAAAGGGUGUGUAGGUGGCGCGCUAAGUCGGGUGUGAAAUUUCGGAGCUUAACUCCGAAACUGCAUUCGAUACUGGCGUGCUUGAGGACUGGAGAGGAGACUGGAAUUCAUGGUGUAGCAGUGAAAUGCGCAGAUAUCAGGAGGAACACCAAUGGCGAAGGCAGCUCGCUGGGACGGUACUGACGCUGAGUGAGUGAAAGCCAGGGGAGCAAACGGG
rnacentral:rRNA from 1 species